GGAGAGGUGGGUGAGUGGCUGAAACCAGCAGUUUGCUAAACUGCCGUACGCUAUCCGUGUACCACGAGUUCGAAUCUCGUCCUCUCCGCCA
rnacentral:tRNA from 1 species